rnacentral:lncRNA from 1 species
UUCCCCAAAUUAUCCGAGUCCACUUGUUCUCCGGAGCCCACUGUCCUUUGCUCUCGUUCAGAUCCGCUUUCCACGCGCACCACUUUCCAUCCAUCUUCCCUCCUGCCGCUCCAGCCAGGAGACACUCACCCUCUACUAUGCCCCUCACACUGCGUUCUCAAGACGCUCCCACCCUACCUCCCAAGACACCCUUCUUUCCCUCUGAGGCUAUUCCAGGAGCCCGCAUCCCAAAUCCAGCCUCCCCAUCCCGCACCAGCCUGCUCCCGGCCUGCCGGGUCCUCUCCCUGGCUGCGCGGUCUUUCCCUCUCCCCAGCCUCCGCCAGAGUCAGCGCUGCCCUCCAGCUUUGCCGGUCCCCCCAGCUCGAGCAUCCCAGUGGCCACCCGCUUUCAAAUUGGCCAAAAGGCUCGCCGAGGCGCCAGGCACAGCGGGCAGCGGCCAGCCAGCUCUCUGAGCGCCAGGCGCACCUCCUGCCUGCCAGCCUGGGCUCCCUCGGGCGCCAAGCCCUGGCCCCACCGCCCGACCGCCUCACAAACUUACUUGCGGGUCGCCAGGAGGGGGCUGCGGUGAGCGGCGGCGGGACCCGCGGCGGCGAGUGCGCCCCUCUCGGCGGGGCUGGGCGGCGCGGCGCCGGCGCUGCGCUCCUGCGGCCACGCGCGGAAUGGGCUCAGCCUGCCGCAGCCCAGCUCUGCCCCCGCCGCCGCCGCCGCGGCCGCCGAGCGCUCCCAGACAUGCUCAGUUUCCGGACCUGCCCGCGUGGACGCUACCAAAAGCCAGCCGCGGCGGGGGAGGCGGAAAGGAGCCGGGGAGCGGGCCACCAGCCGGAGGCUACCACCCUGGAGGCCCGGAAAGAAGGGGGGCGCCGCGCUGCUAAAAAUAGCUGCUGCGGAAGCCAAAGCUCCGGCUUAAAGUGCGCCCCCCUCCCCGCGCGCGUUCCCGCCGCCGGAGGCUCGGGAGCUCCAGGCUGCGGAGCAAGAGCUGCUGCGGCGGCGGGGACCGGAGCGCCGGUCCUGCUAGGUCCCUGCCCGCCCUCUGGACCCCACCCGGGGGAAACGGCUGGACCCUAUCCGCACCCGCGGGUUUCGCCGGAGCUAAGCCCCAGGCUUGCCCGAUUUCAGGCUCCCCCCUGCCCGCCAGCCCUAAUUUUGAGUUAUUGCCCAAGACACGGAGAAAAGUUGGAUUAA